AUUGAACGCUGGCGGCAGGCCUAACACAUGCAAGUCGAGCGGUAGCAUUUCCAGCUUGCUGGAAGAUGACGAGCGGCGGACGGGUGCGUAACACGUAGGAAUCUACCCGGUAGUGGGGGAUAGCCCGGAGAAAUCCGGAUUAAUACCGCAUACGCCUUAAGAGGGAAAGCAGGGGACUCUUCGGAGCCUUGCGCUAUCGGAUGAGCCUGCGUCGGAUUAGCUUGUUGGUGGGUAAAGCCUACCAAGGCAACGAUCCGUAGCUGGUCUGAGAGGAUGAUCAGCCACACUGGGACUGAGACACGGCCCAGACUCCUACGGGAGCAGCAGUGGGAAUAUUGCACAAUGGGCAAAGCCUGACUGCAGCCAUGCCGCGUGUGUGAAGAA
rnacentral:rRNA from 1 species